UUCGUUCUUGAUCAAUGGAUCCGUUAAUGCCACCUGGCAGAUGUCUGUGUCAGUAGUGAACACCAGAUCAAGAAAGCAAUUGUUGUUGUUUACAAUAUUGCAUACUUGCAUCAGCCCAGCAGCGAGAAAACUAUCAACAAUAGCUAUCUCGGUUUGUGAAGUAAUUUGUUCGGGUUAAAAUCACCGACAACGAUAACUUCGUCUUCCGGACUAAUGCUUACAACUAUGGACUCAAUAAAAAGACAAAACGAGCGAUAACGAUCGAUACCAGAGCCACUGCGUAUUCUGUGCUGGCGAUGCUAUUUCGGACGGCAAUCAGAACACCACCGCCAGAGGUUUUUUCACUAUUGAAGGCAUUUCUAUCACAACGGUAUACACGAAAGGCGGAAGAAAACAAUGAACCAUCCAGUACAGUUGCAUCCAGGUUUUCGUGUCAUUGAUACUAUAGGACUAGUGACGGUCAAAUUUGGUUCCAACUCAGGAUCGUUAUUACUACUGUGUAUUGGCAAGGGGUGUAAGAAAGUUUUCUGGAUUGGACUCAUUAUCUCUGAUAUUUUGAAAUGUGUUUGUUCGAGGUUCACUUAUGAAUUCGCGGAAAUAAAUACCAGUUUGCCAGCUCGAGGGCUGCAUCGCCUUUUCUUUGAAAGCGAUAUCGAUUCCCACCUUAAAUGACACGUAUGUCAUUUGGCUCAAAUCAGCACCAUUGCGGACUAAUUUAAUGACUUGGACGGGGCCCUCCAGCUCCAGAUUCUGCUGUACUAGUGUAGAAAUCUCCUCCACAGUGGCUUGUGGGGAGAAUCUAGACAGAAACAGCCAGAAUUUAUUUACUCGAGGGGGCAGCGGUACGAUCGGAAUAGAUGAACCCUGCGGUGGCUCUUUAUUCCCACAAAGCAUUCGAACGGCAUUUGUUUCUUCGUGUGGGAGAUCUACAAGAAUGCGAGGACGCUUAGGCGCUCUACCCUCUGACCCGGGAAUCACUUUGGGAGUUGAAGGCGUAACGGGAAUUUUUCGCGUAAUUCGAUUAAUCAUGUUUGCAUUUUUCUUGAUUUCAUCUCUUAAU